GUGGAUUAGAUACCCUGGUAGUCCACGCCCUAAACGAUGUCUACUAGUUGUCGGGUCUUAAUUGACUUGGUAACGCAGCUAACGCGUGAAGUAGACCGCCUGGGGAGUACGGUCGCAAGAUUAAAACUCAAAGGAAUUGACGGGGACCCGCACAAGCGGUGGAUGAUGUGGAUUAAUUCGAUGCAACGCGAAAAACCUUACCUACCCUUGACAUGGCAGGAAUCCCUGAGAGAUUGGGGAGUGCUCGAAAGAGAACCUGCACACAGGUGCUGCACGGUUGUCGUCAGCU
rnacentral:rRNA from 1 species